rnacentral:rRNA from 1 species
AUGAACGCUGGCGGCGUGCCUCAUCCAUGCCAGUCGAGCGAACAGAUGAGGAGCUUGCUCCUCUGACGUUAGCGGCGGACGGGUGAGUAACACGUGGAUAACCUACCUAUAAGACUGGGAUAACUUCGGGAAACCGGAGCUAAUACCGGAUAAUAUAUUGAACCGCAUGGUUCAAUAGUGAAAGACGGUUUUGCUGUCACUUAUAGAUGGAUCCGCGCCGCAUUAGCUAGUUGGUAAGGUAACGGCUUACCAAGGCAACGAUGCGUAGCCGACCUGAGAGGGUGAUCGGCCACACUGGAACUGAGACACGGUCCAGACUCCUACGGGAGGCAGCAGUAGGGAAUCUUCCGCAAUGGGCGAAAGCCUGACGGAGCAACGCCGCGUGAGUGAUGAAGGUCUUCGGAUCGUAAAACUCUGUUAUUAGGGAAGAACAAAUGUGUAAGUAACUAUGCACGUCUUGACGGUACCUAAUCAGAAAGCCACGGCUAACUACGUG